UUUGGAAAUAACAUGCCCAAUAUUUUCCUUGCAAUAAUGAGGCAAAGCAUUCAAGGAACAAUAUCCUCAAAUGUGGAAUAGGGAGUACUCCUCUCCUUUCAAAGCAAGUUCUUCAAGAUAACUUUAAAAGAAACACAUGGAAUGAUCCAUAUUUAAAUUUUUUAAGCUCCUUGCUGCUUAAAUGUCUCUUUGAGAAGAGCAUUUAAAAAGAGCAAGAAUUGAACUUUGUGGAUUAUCAUAUGCAAUAAAGACAUGUUUUUCAUAAAUAAAAUCAAGGCCAUGGAGGCGUUUUUCAAGCAAUCCUCUCACUUUAGGUGAUUUAUGUCAUGCAUAUCAUGCAUAUACCCUUCAUAAAAGUUUCCUAACAUGCUUCAUUGUUAUUCUUGAUAGGAAAUGUCAAUACCCAAAGAACAAAAACAUGUGAAGGGUAAAUUGUAUCAAUUUCAAUUGCUCAUUUUGAUACCAUGUCUGAGGUGAUUCUCUUUUCCUUUGAUUGAGAAAAAAAUCAAACACUUGUAAGAGGUAUGGUACUAUUCUGAUUAGUGGUUCUGUUAACGGUUACUGAUGAUUAGAACACAAGCUUGUAGGAUUUUUUUGUAGGAAAUUACAAUGGUAGUAGGUGUUCCCAUUGAAAAGCUAGCACAAAUCGAGAGAGGGAAACAAAUUCGUCUUAUUUUGAGCCGUUCACAAGGCAGUCUUGACCGUAUAAUAUGUCAGCUUUUGGAAGGUACAAAUGCUCAAGAGGUCAGGGCAGUGGCACUAGACAUGCAAGCUAGGUUGUUGUUAGAUAUGCUGGGUAAGUACUGAGCCUGCUUUGGUGGAUCCUUCAGCAUUAGUAGCUGAGCCAUGGCAGGCAUCUAGUGAAAUGUUUUCUUAUCCUGAAGCUUGGGCCGUUGAACCGGCACUUGUCCCAAUUAUACAGGUACUUUCACCUUCAUUUUGAUUUUUGCCCUUAGAUCUCCUUGUUGUCACAUUGAAAUUUGAAAUGCAGAUCUUCUGGCUCUGUUUUUGUAUUGGCUUGAGGCCGUUAUUUUGA